rnacentral:tRNA from 1 species
GACUUCAAAUCUGUUGAGGGAGAUCGUCAGAUGGGGCUCAACUCCCUUCCUG